CACGUAGGGGGCGAGCGUUGUCCGGAUUCAUUGGGCGUAAAGCGCGCGCAGGCGGCUCGGAAAGUCGGGUGUGAAAACUCGGGGCUCAACCCUGGGCGUGCAUCCGAUACUGCCGGGCUUGAGGCAGGUAGGGGAGAUCGGAAUUCCUGGUGUAGCGGUGGAAAUGACGCAGAUAUCAGGAGGAACACCGGUGGCGAAGGCGGAUCUCUGGGCCUGUCCUGACGCUGAGGCGCGAAAGCUAGGGGGAGCGAACAGG
rnacentral:rRNA from 1 species